rnacentral:rRNA from 1 species
UACGAAGGGGGCUAGCGUUGCUCGGAAUCACUGGGCGUAAAGCGCACGUAGGCGGAUUGUUAAGUCAGGGGUGAAAUCCCAGAGCUCAACUCUGGAACUGCCUUUGAUACUGGGUACCUCGAGUAUGGAAGAGGUAAGUGGAAUUCCGAGUGUAGAGGUGAAAUUCGUAGAUAUUCGGAGGAACACCAGUGGCGAAGGCGGCUUACUGGUCCAUUACUGACGCUGAGGUGCGAAAGCGUGGGGAGCAAACAGG